UGUCCAGUAGCACCUUAGAGACCAACUAUAUUUGUUCUUGGUAUAGGCUUUCGUGUACAUGCACACUUCUUCAGAUACACAGUGUGCAUGCACAAGAAAGCUUAUACCAAGAAUAAACUUAGUUUGUCUCUAAGGUGCUACUGGACG
rnacentral:miRNA from 1 species